rfam:Myotis brandtii contig305445, whole genome shotgun sequence.
GGCAGUUCUCGGGUGACGCACCCUGGAAUCGGCUCCCUCCUCUCUGAUUCCAGGUGAAUCACCCAAGAACCGCA